rnacentral:rRNA from 2 species
GGGGCAGUGCGGAAUGCUAUACAUGCAGUCGAGCGGACAGAAGGGAGCUUGCUCCCGGAUGUUAGCGGCGGACGGGUGAGUAACACGUGGGUAACCUGCCUGUAAGACUGGGAUAACUCCGGGAAACCGGAGCUAAUACCGGAUAGUUCCUUGAACCGCAUGGUUCAAGGAUGAAAGACGGUUUCGGCUGUCACUUACAGAUGGACCCGCGGCGCAUUAGCUAGUUGGUGGGGUAAUGGCUCACCAAGGCGACGAUGCGUAGCCGACCUGAGAGGGUGAUCGGCCACACUGGGACUGAGACACGGCCCAGACUCCUACGGGAGGCAGCAGUAGGGAAUCUUCCGCAAUGGACGAAAGUCUGACGGAGCAACGCCGCGUGAGUGAUGAAGGUUUUCGGAUCGUAAAGCUCUGUUGUUAGGGAAGAACAAGUGCGAGAGUAACUGCUCGCACCUUGACGGUACCUAACCAGAAAGCCACGGCUAACUACGUGCCAGCAGCCGCGGUAAUACGUAGGUGGCAAGCGUUGUCCGGAAUUAUUGGGCGUAAAGGGCUCGCAGGCGGUUUCUUAAGUCUGAUGUGAAAGCCCCCGGCUCAACCGGGGAGGGUCAUUGGAAACUGGGAAACUUGAGUGCAGAAGAGGAGAGUGGAAUUCCACGUGUAGCGGUGAAAUGCGUAGAGAUGUGGAGGAACACCAGUGGCGAAGGCGACUCUCUGGUCUGUAACUGACGCUGAGGAGCGAAAGCGUGGGGAGCGAACAGGAUUAGAUACCCUGGUAGUCCACGCCGUAAACGAUGAGUGCUAAGUGUUAGGGGGUUUCCGCCCCUUAGUGCUGCAGCUAACGCAUUAAGCACUCCGCCUGGGGAGUACGGUCGCAAGACUGAAACUCAAAGGAAUUGACGGGGGCCCGCACAAGCGGUGGAGCAUGUGGUUUAAUUCUAAGCAACGCGAAGAACCUUACCAGGUCUUGACAUCCUCUGACAACCCUAAAAAUAGGGCUUUCCUUCGGGGACAGAGUGACCAGUGGUGCUUGGUUGUCGUCCCCUCGCGUCGCGCGUCGUUGGGUUUAGUCUCGCUACCACUGCAACCCUUGACUCUACUUCCCACUAUCUAAUUGGCACACUU